CCCCCCCCCCCCCCCCCCCCCCCCCCCCCCCCCCCCCCCCCCCCCCCCCCCCCCCCCCCCCCCCGGCGGCGGGGGGGAACGCGGGACCGGCCGAGGGUCCGGGACACGGUCCUGUGAGCGGCGGCCGGGCGUGCCGCACCCGCUGGAAAGGAGGUCCAAGGGCGACCUUCUCGCCCCGCAGCUCCCUGGCUGUAGCCAGGUGUGACUCGGCCUCUUCUCCCAGGCACACUGCGGCAGAGCGAAGGGACUUGGCCUCGAGCUGCACCAGAGGAGGUUUAGGCUCUUCCCAGCAGUGCUUGGGCUUCCCUGUGCACUGUGGUGGCACCCAGUUGUGGUAGAAACCCCCAUGAUCCUGCCUGCCAUCAAUACCCCCCAACACCCUGCAGGUAGAUCACCACUCUGCUUUUUACUUUCUCAUUUCUUGAAAAUCAGCUCUGUAUGGCCUUGCAGUAUAUGGUUAUAUAAAAAAUCAUAUGUAAUAUAUCACCAAAUCCUUACAUCCACACAGAGUCAAGCUGCAGACCAGACCAGUGCCCUGUUACCAUGAGGAGAGGGGUGUGGGAAUUGGGGAAUUGGAAGCUGCUAAAUUCCAGUAUCAAGAGGUGGUUUGGGUGCAGCCUUGCCUGGGAUGGGCAGGGUGGUCUUCAUCCCUCCUGGAUGAAGCUCCCUCUCAGCUCUGCUGUGAUCCCACAUCCAACACCUGCGAGCCAAACACAACCUAGCCAGGGGGUUCAGCAUCUUCCAGGAACCUGGGGCUGCAUCACAAAGAAACAACGGGAUAGAGGCACUGAACCCAAACCCCUGCCUGGUUUUAUGCCUCGUCGAUAA
rnacentral:lncRNA from 12 species